rnacentral:lncRNA from 1 species
UUUACAUGCAGAUUGUUCCGUUGUUUUGAACAAGAACUAAUAUAUUGUAACUAUUUGACAGGGCCAAACAAUGCAUGUUACUGUGAGAAUUAAAACUCAUGAUACUAUAAAUGUGGAGUUUGAUACACAAUUAUUGAUCAAAUAAGAAUGAGAAACCUGUUUAUGCAUUAUCAUAUUAAAAUUGUGGAAGCCAGAAAGUAUCACCUGUCGACCAAUGAAAUACAGAGGUAAGGAUCAUCGGAAAAUUUUCCUGAUUAGUAAUUCCAGUUUGCUUCCAAGGACACACUACAAGAACAUGCAGGGAAAGAUAAACAAUGCUCAGGUAUACUUAUACUUUAUAGUUCUAAAUAAGACUCAACUAAUUAAUCUUUCUCGCUAUGAAGUAUCUAAUCGCCAAUUAUACAGAUGUCAUUACUCACCCAAAUGAAGCAUGUGGAAUCAAGAUUAAUGGAGUAAGUGCAUAAUGCAUAACCACAUACUUUAAUUGGACUUCCAUCAUUGCAUUAUCAUUAAAUUUUCCAGCUUAAACUUUUCAUGAGUGAUAAAAUCAGAAUUACGCUAUAGGGAAAUUCUACUUUAUAUUUUCAAUGAGGAUGUAAUCGACAUCGAAACUAUCCUUAUUGUGACAUCAACAACCGUGCAGAAGUUUUAAUAGUACGUCCAAUAAAGUCACAACAUCUUCUGUCAUUUACAAACAAAUAACAGAUUUCCAUGAUUAAAGAGGAUUGUGCCUAAAAUCAACCACUGUCGCAAAUGUAUACAUAUCUAGAUACACCCGCAACUCAGGAACCUCUUGAAAGGUAUGGAACACUAUCUUGUAUUAUUUAUCAACUAAUGAAUCAUGACUCAUGUUUAUUAACCAAUGUAAAAUAAUAAUUAUACUUGACUAACUCCAUAUAUGCAGACACUCACCAGAAGAAACUUCACCAAAAAUGAUCGAGAUAGAUAGAAGUACACAAGGUACACUAGAAGAACAAGUGUCUUACAGAACUUAUUGGAAUGACGCAUGGAAACUAAGCAAAUCAGGCAGUCAUAAAACUUCUUCUAAGAUAUGACAUCACCACUUUUCAAGAAAAACAAGACUCUAAGACCUGCAGGGACAGUGAGCUAUAUCAGUUAUAAGCUUAUAAUGGAGCCAUAUUCGACUUAUUAAUGUAUGUCAACUUCUUCAGAUUGAUAUUUUUGAUUUUGUGGGUAAUUUAUUUAAAUUUUGCAUUCAUGGCAAUAGCUACAAUAGAUCUGUUGCAAGAAAAUAUUUGAUGUUGGUAUAUGUCAUGUGAUGAUUGUUUUCUGCAGCAAUAACAAUGCUAUGGUAGGCAUAGUAUUCGACUCCAAAUUAGUGGAUGUACAACUACUACAAGCUGCAGUUCCUUUAACGAGGGGUGGCAAAAAGUUGCUUAAUACAUUUGUCUUGAACUUGAUGAACUCAUUGGAUGGAAAAUCUGAAGAAGUGCAGAAGAUUAUACGAUAAUUAUGCUGAAAACAAGAGAAACUAUUUGUAUUAACUGAUAUAGAGUAAGAAUACUUGACAAUCCAUUAAUAUAAGGAGGACUUAUUAGGUAACAACGGUUUAUUUAUUUAUUUUCGAACGCGGAGGUGAAAGGCCUCAGUCGAUAAAUUAAGCAGAAGAGAAUUACCCAGUUAAUUAGCGGAAAACUGGGCGAAUACCAUGAUAACAACGGUAUAACAUUACCACUAUCAGAAGCAUGCCAUAUUGUAAUUAUUUAAAUACAUUCAGACAUGCACUUUUGUGAGUUUUAUAUUCUUGGUAAAAUCAAUUACAUGAACCAACAUUUCAGUUAGUACAUGUAAGCUGUCCUGCUUUGUCUUAAUACACAUACAAGUAAUAUAACUUGCUAAUAUAUGGUAACAAGAAAUAAAAAUACAUGUGAACAAUCAGCCACUAUGGAGGAACUAGGAAUGAUUUAAAGCCGUAGCACAUUACAUAGGUGGAAGCUGACAGCACCAGCAAUGAGGAAGCCCAUAGCUCGCCUCAACCUGCAGACUCUCUGUAAAUGCAAAGAGACCAAUCACAAAUGUAUAUUACUACUUUUUAAAACUGCUUUCAUGUGUAUAUAUGGUAAUAAGAGCGAACAAGACUUAUAAUAUUGGCUUUACGUAGUAGAUGGAUAUAAUGAGUAUAGUUUUGCUGUAUGAAGGUCCAUAUAAUCAUUAUGGAGGAGUUGAAGAGAUAAUAAUCAAAAUUUAGGUAGAAUGUCAACAUAAAAAAGAUCAUGCUCAGUUCCCUAACAAACAUAAGGCGCAUCAAUGGAUGUCAAAUAACUAUAAUCUUUAUCCUAUAACUAAUAAUCCUUACAUGAACCCAGAAUGUACGAGGUUAUCUCCUAAAUUAAAAUUCAACAGAACAGCAGAGUAUAUCAUCUGUAUCUCUUAAGUAAUCUAAAGAUAAUAUAUGUAAAAAUAACUUACAAGUACAUAUAUACUGCCAGGCAAGAGGAGACUACAGAGAAUAUCAGGAGAGUAUAGGAAGAGAUUCAUUACCGGCCCAUACUGCUCCACCUCAACGACGACAGAGAAGAUGGUCAUCCAACCUGACAACAAAUCUCUCAUUCCUGGCACGAUGAGUAGGAGAGUAGAGCUAACAACAAGCUAUCUCUCAGAUUCUCCCGUGGCCUGCCUCACCAGAUCAGAAUCUGCAAGAUGCGACCUAGCCGGUAGGCGGCUCAAGAUCCGCGGCUUGAAAGCCCGUCCCCUCCUUGCUCAGAGCUGGCCUCCGAGAGCAUCUUCUUCAAAGCUUCGGUGCUGGGCAUGCCACUCGAUUUGGUAUACAACCAAGCUUCCAAGACUACCACGAUAGAGCAAGGAAAGGGAGGAUCUACUUUCUCAUUUAGAACAGAGGAUGUAGAGACGUGAAGCAGUUAACCAAUUAGCCUUUUCUUUUGAUGGGAACCAAUUAGCCUUUGUUCCCAAUGAAGUAGACCAACUAGCCCAUUGUGACUUGUGAGAGUGACUCAAGAAAAAUAUUAAAAUAAUUUGUAAAAAAAACUUACAACAAUACUAGGUCGUGGGUCUAUUAGUAGAAAAUUUGAUAUCGUUCUGAUAGAGCAUAUAAUGGACCGAGGGGC